rnacentral:rRNA from 1 species
UGGGGAAUAUUGGACAAUGGGCGCAAGCCUGAUCCAGCAAUGCCGCGUGGAUGAAGAAGGUCUUCGGAUUGUAAAGUCCUUUCGACGGGGACGAUGAUGACGGUACCCGUAGAAGAAGCCCCGGCUAACUUCGUGCCAGCAGCCGCGGUAAUACGAAGGGGGCUAGCGUUGCUCGGAAUUACUGGGCGUAAAGGGCGCGUAGGCGGCCGAUCAAGUCAGGCGUGAAAUUCCCGGGCUCAACCUGGGGGCUGCGCUUGAGACUGGUUGGCUAGAGGCCGAGAGAGGGUGGUGGAAUUCCCAGUGUAGAGGUGAAAUUCGUAGAUAUUGGGAAGAACACCGGUGGCGAAGGCGGCCACCUGGCUCGGUACUGACGCUGAGGCGCGACAGCGUGGGGAGCAAACA